AUUGAACGCUGGCGGCAGGCCUAACACAUGCAAGUCGAACGGUAGCACAGAGAGCUUGCUCUCGGGUGACGAGUGGCGGACGGGUGAGUAAUGUCUGGGAAACUGCCCGAUGGAGGGGGAUAACUACUGGAAACGGUAGCUAAUACCGCAUAACGUCGCAAGACCAAAGUGGGGGACCUUCGGGCCUCACACCAUCGGAUGUGCCCAGAUGGGAUUAGCUAGUAGGUGGGGUAAUGGCUCACCUAGGCGACGAUCCCUAGCUGGUCUGAGAGGAUGACCAGACACACUGGGACUGAGACACGGUCCAGACUCCUACGGGAGGCAGCAGUGGGGAAUAUUGCACAAUGGGCGCAAGCCAUGCCGCGUGUGUGAAGAAGGCCUUAUGGUUGUAAAGCACUUUAAGCGAGGAGGAGGCUCUUUUGGUUAAUACCCAAGAUGAGUGGACGUUACUCGCAGAAUAAGCACCGGCUAACUCUGUGCCAGCCGCCGCAGUAA
rnacentral:rRNA from 1 species